GAAGAACUAAAAAAAACCAAAACAACAACAACAACAACAAAAAAAACUAAACCUGAGACAGAGUGGAGUUGUUUUGCCCAAAGUCACAGCUAAGAAGUACCAGGGCCAGGAUAAGCAGCCUAGUUAGAACAUGUAGGUAUACUUGCUAGGGAGUCCAGUAAGAAGACAUCCAGCUAGACAUCCAAAGGAGGGCACACACAUGGUGACAACUGGAGACUCAGACCUACCUGUGGUUCUGUGUUCAAACCCCUCCUAGUUUUUCUGAGCUUCAGUUGGGGAAACGGGGGACAGUUUGACCAACCAGAUGCACCUCUGAUAACUCCCUUAACCUUGGCUUCAAGAGGGAGCUUCCUGAAAACUGUGGUGUACUUGUGUGGAGUCCAAAUAUGGAUACUGGAUCUCUUCAGUCACUCGCUACCAUAUUACAUUCAGGGAUCCUUGACUGUAACCCGCCGGCCUCCAGGGCUUUGCGUGUCUCUACAGCCUACACUGCCCGAAUCCCCUACGCCUAGCUUGUCAGGCGCCCCCAAGAUGGCGCCUCCAGCUUCGUCCCGCCUCCCG
rnacentral:lncRNA from 1 species